rnacentral:lncRNA from 1 species
UUGGCAUCCAUUCAGAGGUAAAAGACAAACAAAUUUCUGCAUUUUGGUAUGAUGAUGACCAGAAGUGCAUCUCAAAGAAGAGAAAGGAAACAAUGUUAGUUCUUCCACCAUUAUUACCACCUUUGAACGAGAGCAUAUUUCACAUGAAGGAAGUAAAAUGUAAUUCAAACUUAACAAAAAUAAACAAUUUAAAGGCAAAUGCCUAUAGUGAAAGCAUGCAUAUAUGAUGCUAUUAACCAAAGAAAACCUACCAAGAGACUAACAAGGAAUGCGAACAAUUAGGAAAAUGAUGCACAAAGAGAGAGAGAGAGAGAGAGAGAGAGAGACUUCAGGUUGCAAAUAAAAUUUAAUUGCAAUACAGUAUCAGAACAUAAUUCCACAUUCACUAAUGAUAUGCAAAAAAUAAUUUGUCACUGCAAUAUUAUAUCAGACUGGAUAUAUCACAGGCUCAAAUCUCAUAUUUAGAAUUAGAUAUGUCCUUUCAUUAGCAUAUUAUUUGAGAAUAAACUGGCAUAAGCCAGAUCCAGUAUUGUGCAUCACCGAUAUGGAAAACAAUUACAAACAUCAAAAGCUGCCAACCACCAAGCGAAGCCCUAUAACAGUGUAACCCAACAUAUGAUUCAAUAUUCAUCACUGUCAUUGGCUGACACCUAUUUGCUUCUCUGUCAAACUACUUUGCAUAAGAGAGUGUGUCAAUCCGAUGUUAAACUUGAGAAACAAGCAUAACAAAUACCUAUGAUGGAUUAACUGAAUGAAAAACACACAGACCAUAACUGAAACAAACAGGUGAGAGCUCAAACAACACUGCUUUGGAUCUCUUUCAAAACAAGAUCAAAAUACACUGCAUUGGACCAGAAAUCUAGGCCAAAAUAACAAAGAUCUCAUUGUAUACUUUUGAUCAUAAACAGGUUCCAAAUACUUUUAGAUUUUUUCCUUUAUCAACUGGACAAAUAUUCCUUUUUACUAAACAAACCUCUCCAAGCUGUUCAAAUGAAGCUAGAAUUGAUAGGUGCAUUGACGCAAAACUGAAAAAGGAAAAGAAUUGCAAACUGGAACAGGUUUCUUACCUUAUACAAUAAAAUCGUUGACCAAAAGUCCAAUUCUCAAGCUCAAAAUACCCCUCCAACCAACUUCCCAAAGAAUCUGCAUUCAACCCCAAAAAAAGAGGUUAUACAAUUUUCACAGCUAGCCAAUUGUCAUGUCUAAAUUAAAACUGCAAACCAGCUUUCUAGAUUCAAGAGAGAAUACAUAUCAACCCAGACAAUCUCUAGAAAAUAAUCAGCUCUCAAGUUGAAUCUUUUAUAACAAAAGCAGAAACUCAAUAAUGAAAGAGUAAUAGGCUGAAUGUGAGUACUUAGAACCUUAAAGAUUCAAUUUUUUAAAGGACAUCAACUAGGCGGAACAAAGACCAAGCAAUUUUAAACACAAACCCCAUUUCCCGAACCAGUUUCUUUCCAACCCAAAACAAACACAAAAAAAGUGUUUAUUCCUUCUUCUUCUUCUUCUUUUUUCCGCAUAAUUUAAAGCAUGUUCUCUUGAAAAACCCAAAAGCCACUUCAAUAACUCAUAUAACAGGAUCCAAAUUUUGCAGAAAAUAAGAUCCAGACCCAGCUCAGUAUUAUUCGAUUUGAUGAUACAUCUUCUAACCUAUCAGACUCUAAAUAACAAGAUUUUCAACAUAAAUUGAAGCAACACAAUUAAACCCUAGAAUGCCUAUAAGGGCAUCAAAUAAAAUUCACCACCUCAGUAUUAAUCGAUUAGAAGAUAAAUCAAACUCCUCAGACUAUAUAUAACGAGAUUUUCAACAUAAUUUGAAGCACCAGAUUAAAACCCUAGAAUGCUAGUAAAGGCACCAAAUAAAAUUCAUCAAAAAGUAAACAAAAAAGCAUGAAUUUUUAAGUAGCUAAAGCUUUUAGAUGACAUACCAGAGCAAUCGGAAAAGAGAAGAAUUUGGGAGAUUUGAAAAAAGAAGAUGGGGCUAGAACUCGUUGAGAGAAAGGAGGUGCUCAAUUUUC